rnacentral:rRNA from 1 species
CGAGGAGGUAGGGCUUACGCUUGCGUUUGUCUGUUAUAUCUUGGUGGACGAGUCGUCGCGGUUGGGACUGAGGUGCCUACAACGUGCUUUUGAGUGGGUUUGUGUCUCCGUGUGCGCCGUGUGCGGAUAGCUUGCUAUGUAUGUGUGGUUGUGUGUGGAUUGAUGCGGGCCUUAACUUGUUGCCGUUCGGGACGUUGACGAAAUGGAGCGAUCCGACCCGUCUUGAAACACGGACCAAGGAGUCUAACAUAUGUGCAAGUGUUAGGGUGUGGAAACCCCAGCGCGUAAUGAAAGUAAAGGGCAGCGCAAGUUGUCUGAGGUAGGAAACGUUGUGGACUUCGGUCUGCGGCGUGGCACUAUCGACCGAUCAUGAACCUUCGUGGUGAAAGAUUUGAGUUUGAGCACAUAUGUUGGUACCCGAAAGAUGGUGAACUAUGCCUGAGUAGGGUGAAGCCAGGGGAAACUCUGGUGGAAGCUCGUAGCGAUUCUGACGUGCAAAUCGAUCGUCGAACUUGGGUAUAGGGGCGAAAGACUAAUCGAACCAUCUAGUAGCUGGUUCCCUCCGAAAUUUCCCUCAGGAUAGCAGCAACUUAUUUACGAUAGUUUUAUGAGGUAAAGCGAAUGAUUAGAGGAUUCGGGGAAGAAACUUCCUCGACCUAUUCUCAAACUUUAAAUCUGUAAGACCUGCAGGUUUCUUAAU